GACGAACGCNGGCGGCGUGCCUAAUACAUGCAAGUAGAACGCUGAAGGAGGAGCUUGCUCUUCUGGAUGAGUUGCGAACGGGUGAGUAACGCGUAGGUAACCUGCCUGGUAGCGGGGGAUAACUAUUGGAAACGAUAGCUAAUACCGCAUAAGAGUAGAUGUUGCAUGACAUUUGCUUAAAAGGUGCAAUUGCAUCACUACCAGAUGGACCUGCGUUGUAUUAGCUAGUUGGUGAGGUAACGGCUCACCAAGGCGGCGAUACAUAGCCGACCUGAGAGGGUGAUCGGCCACACUGGGACUGAGACACGGCCCAGACUCCUACGGGAGGCAGCAGUAGGGAAUCUUCGGCAAUGGACGGAAGUCUGACCGAGCAACGCCGCGUGAGUGGAGAAGGUUUUCGGAUCGUAAAGCUCUGUUGUAAGAGAAGAACGAGUGUGAGAGNGGAAAGUCACAC
rnacentral:rRNA from 1 species